GACUGCAGUGUAGGACUUUCCUGCAGAAUACCAUUUGAUCCUAUUAAGAAUUGUCCAAAUGUUGGAGCAUUUGAUUGAAAAAUCCUUCUUAGCCAUUUUAAAGACUCAUUAGUGAACCAGAACAAUAAACCAAACAGAGAACCAUCAGAUAAUGGGUUAGCCUGGGAAGAAUAUUAAUUACAACUGGAGAUAGCUUUCCAAUGAUUAGACGAAUUGAUUCUUUCUGUGACUCAUCAGUUCAUUUCCUGUAAAAUUCAUGUCUUGCUGUUGAUUUGUGAAUAAGAACCAGAGCUUGUAGAAACCACUUUAAUCAUAUCCAGGAGUUUGCAAGAAACAGGUGCUUAACACUAAUUCACCUCCUGAACAAGAAAAAUGGGCUGUGACCGGAACUGUGGGCUCAUCGCUGGGGCUGUCAUUGGUGCUGUCCUGGCUGUGUUUGGAGGUAUUCUAAUGCCAGUUGGAGACCUGCUUAUCCAGAAGACAAUUAAAAAGCAAGUUGUCCUCGAAGAAGGUACAAUUGCUUUUAAAAAUUGGGUUAAAACAGGCACAGAAGUUUACAGACAGUUUUG
rnacentral:lncRNA from 1 species